rnacentral:rRNA from 1 species
ACGGUGCUGAAGUGACAAAUGCCCUGCUUCCAGGAAAAGCCUCUAAGCAUCAGGUAACAUCAAAUCGUACCCCAAACCGACACAGGUGGUCAGGUAGAGAAUACCAAGGCGCUUGAGAGAACUCGGGUGAAGGAACUAGGCAAAAUGGUGCCGUAACUUCGGGAGAAGGCACGCUGACAUGUAGGUGAAGCCCCUGCGGGUGGAGCUGAAGUCAGUCGAAGAUACCAGCUGGCUGCAACUGUUUAUUAAAAACACAGCACUGUGCAAACACGAAAGUGGACGUAUACGGUGUGACGCCUGCCCGGUGCCGGAAGGUUAAUUGAUGGGGUUAUCGCAAGAGAAGCUCCUGAUCGAAGCCCCGGUAAACGGCGGCCGUAACUAUAACGGUCCUAAGGUAGCGAAAUUCCUUGUCGGGUAAGUUCCGACCUGCACGAAUGGCGUAAUGAUGGCCAGGCUGUCUCCACCCGAGACUCAGUGAAAUUGAACUCGCUGUGAAGAUGCAGUGUACCCGCGGCAAGACGGAAAGACCCCGUGAACCUUUACUACAGCUUGACACUGAACAUUGAGCCUUGAUGUGUAGGAUAGGUGGGAGGCUUUGAAGCGUGGACGCCAGUCUGCGUGGAGCCGACCUUGAAAUACCACCCUUUAAUGUUUGAUGUUCUAACCUGGCGCCGUAAUCCGGCGUGGGGACAGUGUCUGGUGGGUAGUUUGACUGGGGCGGUCUCCUCCCAAAGUGUAACGGAGGAGCACGAAGGUCAGCUAAUCCUGGUCGGACAUCAGGAGGUUAGUGCAAUGGCAUAAGCUGGCUUGACUGCGAGAGUGACGGCUCGAGCAGGUGCGAAAGCAGGUCAUAGUGAUCCGGUGGUUCUGUAUGGAAGGGCCAUCGCUCAACGGAUAAAAGGUACUCCGGGGAUAACAGGCUGAUACCGCCCAAGAGUUCAUAUCGACGGCGGUGUUUGGCACCUCGAUGUCGGCUCAUCACAUCCUGGGGCUGAAGUAGGUCCCAAGGGUAUGGCUGUUCGCCAUUUAAAGUGGUACGCGAGCUGGGUUUAGAACGUCGUGAGACAGUUCGGUCCCUAUCUGCCGUGGGCGCUGGAGAAUUGAGGGGGGGCUGCUCCCAGUACGAGAGGACCGGAGUGGACGCAUCACUGGUGUUCGGGUUGUCAUGCCAAUGGCACUGCCCGGUAGCUAAAUGCGGAAGAGAUAAGUGCUGAAAGCAUCUAAGCACGAAACUUGCCCCGAGAUGAGUUCUCCCUGAGACUAUAAGUCUCCUGAAGGAACGUUGAAGACGACGACGUUGAUAGGCCGGGUGUGUAAGCGCAGCGAUGCGUUGAGCUAACCGGUACUAAUGAACCGUGAGGCUUAACCUU